UCCUACGGGGGGCAGCAGUAGGGAAUAUUGCUCAAUGGGGGAAACCCUGAAGCAGCAACGCCGCGUGGAGGAUGAAGGUUUUAGGAUUGUAAACUCCUUUUGUUAGAGAAGAUUAUGACGGUAUCUAACGAAUAAGCACCGGCUAACUCCGUGCCAGCAGCCGCGGUAAUACGGAGGGUGCAAGCGUUACCCGGAAUCACUGGGCGUAAAGAGUGCGUAGGCGGGGGAAUAAGUCAGAUGUGAAAUCCUGUAGCUUAAUUACAGAACUGCAUUUGAAACUUUUACUCUGGAGUGUGGGAGAGGUG
rnacentral:rRNA from 1 species